rnacentral:rRNA from 1 species
AACGGACGCUGGCGGCGUGGAUAAGACAUGCAAGUCGAACGAGAGAAUUGCUAGCUAGCUAAUAAUUCUCUAGUGGCGCACGGGUGAGUAACACGUGAGUAACCUGCCCCCGAGAGCGGGAUAGCCCUGGGAAACUGGGAUUAAUACCGCAUAGUAUCGAAAGAUUAAAGCAGCAAUGCGCUUGGGGAUGGGCUCGCGGCCUAUUAGUUAGUUGGUGAGGUAACGGCUCACCAAGGCGAUGACGGGUAGCCGGUCUGAGAGGAUGUCCGGCCACACUGGAACUGAGACACGGUCCAGACACCUACGGGUGGCAGCAGUCGAGAAUCAUUCACAAUGGGGGAAACCCUGAUGGUGCGACGCCGCGUGGGGGAAUGAAGGUCUUCGGAUUGUAAACCCCUGUCAUGUGGGAGCAAAUUAAAAAGAUAGUACCACAAGAGGAAGAGACGGCUAACUCUGUGCCAGCCGCCGCGGUAA